CCCGUACGUGGGGGGAGCGGGUUGAAGGUUCGGGCAGGGAGCAACAGACACAGAGGUGGUGUGUCGGCGCGGCGGGGGAGUUGCUGUGUCCUCUCCUUCCCCGGCGGGGAGGCGGGGGUUGCGAGGGGAUCCUCGGGGAUCCGCGGGAGGGGGCGGGGCGGGCACACUCACGAGUGCCUAGCCCCCGCGGGCCGGGCUGAGUUCCAGCGUAGCCAGCUCGUCCCGGUGCCGGGAAGGAGGUUAGGAAAGCGUGAGAAUGUGUGUGCGCGCGCGCCCUCGGGGUCGCGGGCUCGCAGGCGAGGCGGGGGCGGGGGGGGCAGCGGCGACCCCGAGUGGAGGUGGGUGUGGAGUCUGAUCCUGGUGGCGGGGGUAACGUUGUGUGGUGUGGGAUUGGCUGGAGCGUUGCUUGGGGAGAGGACGAGGUGGAAGUCCGCACACCUGGGGUGGUGGUGGAGGGAGUGCGGAGAGGGAGAGAGACCUCUGGAAACCCGAGUUUGUUCUUUAUACUCGGGUUGGAAGUACUGAAGAAUAAUGUCAUCUGUAGUUAGUUGGCGGGGUGGGGGUGGGAGCAUAAAGAGGGGGAAUGGAUGAGGAAGUGAGGAAAGAGGGAGGUACUAUGGACAGGGUUGGGUUCCCCAGAAGAAACUGAGUUAGAAUUAGUGUAGUCAGAUGAUACCAUACUGAGAGUUGUGUACGUUCAUUAAGAGUGUUGUAAGGAACUUGUAUGUCGGAGGUAGACUGACGCAUGGGUACAGAGUGUGUGAGAGUAUGUGAUGGGUGUCUGGGGUGGUGUGAAGGGAGCGACUGAUAAACAUUAUAGGAAGGGGAAGAUAGAUACAUUGCAACCAAGUACACGCUAGUGAGAGCAUAUUGAAUGGAAAGACACCAGCAGCCAGGAAGGUUCCUUGGAAGCAGAAUAGGAGCUUGGACAUAGAGGUAAAAGAGGAUCAAAAUUUUGAUGACAGAGAAAAACAAGGUGGUUAGAGUCUGAAAUUAAUUGGAGAGUUUCUACUUCUUAGAAAAGGGGAAGGAAGACCUUAAAACGGAUCCUUUUUGUCCUUUGGGAGCAGAACUAAGAAAGGCAGGCUAAUGGGAAGAUGUUUAAAAAAAUGGUUUCAUACCUUGUAGAAGAGGGACUUGGUUGGGAUAGAAGUCUGAAAUGAGCAGAAAAGUCGCUUUAGCUGUUUAGUGAAAAUAUUGUUGUGUGAUUGGCUUCCUAAACACAUAUUACAAGAGAAGGUAGGUAGUGAUACAGGAAGGUGGCUGUUGUACUUAUGAAAGUGGUAAUAGUUUCUUUAAGCAGAGUGUGGAAAGGAGAGAAUGAUGAGAUCUUUGAAUUGUGGUUGAAUGCCUGAGUUUAACAGAGACAGGGUGCGCACAAGUGUGCCCAAUGACUGACUUUGGGUAGUUGGAACGAUAUCUGUAAUAUUACAGUCCUUUUUCUCCACUAUUAUCCUUGUAUUAACAUGUCAGAUAAACUUAAUAAAUAUAACUGUGAGAAAGAUCUAUGGUAGAUGUUGUAGACGGAUGUGGAAACCAUCAGGACAGUACUUAAUUUUAAGGAAUUUGCAGUUAUUAUUAAUAAUAGCAUGGAGUAAAAUAAGGCAAGUAUCAUAAAAGAUGCCAGUGUCAUUAAGAGUUCAAAGGCACGAGAUUAUUUAAGCAAUUGGGGGGAACCAGGAAAACCUUCCUUUGUUCAUUUGCUCAUUCAUACACUCAUGAUUCAUCAGUCAUUUUGUUGAUCACCUAUAUGGGAGGUAUUGUACCAACUGCUGAGAAAAGAACUCCACCCUCUUCUUACAGAGUUUACAGUUUGUUAGGUUUCAAGGAGAAAAUGGAAAUGGACCUUAAGUAUAAGCAGUAUUCUGACAGGUGUGGACUGAGAACAGAAUCCAAACGGAAGGAAACUGAGCAGAAUACUCAGAUAAGGGAGGUUGGGAGCUGGGGAAGGUAUUCAGACUAAACAAGAAUAUAGGGUGAUGUAGCUGGAAAAACUUUUAAUAGACUUUUUUAUAGAUUAAGUUUGAUCCCUUCCUUUCACAAAUGAAGAAAGUAUAGAUAGCAUAAUGAAGUCAAAUUGUUGAGGACCAUAUAGCUGGAACGUGGAGGCUCUGUAACUCACAUGUAGGUCUUCUGACUCUGUAUCAGCCAUACUGUGUGACAUGUCUGGGUUUAUCCAUUCUUACCACAAAUAUGUAUUGAGAGCUUACUGUAUGCCAGUCACUCCUCUAGGCACUGAGGAUACAACGGUGAAUGAAAGAGUAAACAUAGGAAGGUAUAUUCUGGUAGAAUUAGGCAAUCAGUAAACAUGAACAGAUAACUAUGUCAGGUGGUGACAAGAACUAGAAGGAAAAAGCAAGAUACGGAUAUCUUCUUUUAUACAGACAGGGUGAUCAAGGAGAGCCUAUUUAAUAAGGUGCCUAUAUUUGAGAGGGUCUUGAAUUGUGAUCUGUAGUUAAUAGUUAAAAUGGAUGGAUCAUGGAGAAUCUGAGAUGAUUUGUUUAGAAGAGCAUUCACAUGCUCACAGAUAGGAUUAGGAAGAUGAAUCUGUGUAGUGUAAUAAUGGGCAGUUAGGACCAGAAAUAAGGCGGUAGAGUAGAAAGGUAAAAGCAGACUGGGAGAGAGGUGAUAAUUUUAAUGGGAAGAUCAGAUGGUGUUGAGAGGCUUCUCUGUUAAUGUGUUUUAUAUUUUGUAAAUUAUCAUGGUAGGGAAGACUUAUCUUUAGGUUGUGAAAUCCGUGGUAGACAACUUGAGAUGAGUUUAGUUCCUUGAAGAAGGGAGAAAAGAAUAAGAAGGAACACUGUUUGAAUAACUUAUAUUUUACCGCUAAAGUUGAAUAAGCAAAACUGAACAGGCACCAGUGUUUUCUCAGUCUUGCACGUCUGUUCUAAGUAAAUAAAGCAAAUCUUAGGGCUAACAGUUGUCUGGGACUUAGAGGGGAUAGGGUAAUAAAGACUUGGACCAGCCCAAAUUUCCCUCUCUUUUCUUCUUCUUCGGAUAAUCAUUCCAUUUAAAGUCUGCUGUGAGGCGGUUAGAGACUGUCUUCAGGGAAACAUCAUGUUCACUUUCUUUUCUUUGCUGGAAACCAAACCUUUUGGUUUUUAGACAACUUGGGGAGGAUGUUAGAUACUGCUGAACAAGUGUGGUUGGGGGUAUGACAGUUAUUCUUUGUGACCCUUGACUUUAGGGAGAAUUUUGUUGCCUACCUUUCUCAGUGGUAUAAGACCAUGACUGGGCAAUUUUUAAACUGCAUAGCUAUAGAUCUUUCCUCAUGGAGAUGAAAAUUAGCUUUGUAUCAGCUAGAUUCAUUUGUUGGAGUAAAUGAGCUGGGGUGUCUGGCAUUGAAAUGGUGCAUUGUUGGUGGCAAACCAGGGAGUAAGAUGGCAGUUUCAGAAGAGUGAGAUAGGAGGAUAUGAGGUUAAGAAGCAUCAGUAAGACGAAGAUAGAGAGUUCAAAAUCAAGGGGACUGAAUUAGUCUUGAGUUGCAGAAAUAGAGCAGAGAUGAUAGGAAAGAAAACCUAUCUUCUGUUUGGGAAAGAAGGUGAUGUUGUGAGGAAAUUUUUUUUGUUGUUGGAAGAGAAAUUUUUUUUUUUAAAGCAGUGUCAUUUUUUUUUUUUUUUUAAAUAGCAGAUUGACAAGAUUCCUAAGUGAAUAAAUUAAGAGUACUUUUCUGCAUUUUAUAAAAAUAAGAACCGGUCUUAAAAUAAGGUUCUACAAAGAAUAUGAUUGGAAAUUUAUUUCUCGAAGAAAAAUUCAGUCUUUUCUCUUGAUUUAUGGCAAAAUAGAAAGAUCUUAAAGACUUUGACACCUCUGUUGAGUGAAAGAAAAUGGAAUUUUGAAUAUUGUCCAUCUAAUAAGGGUGGAAGAAGGGUAAAGAUAAUCCAUGGAUGAGAUAGUAGGUGAUGUAGAUCAUGCUUUAAAAGAAUAGUAUUUUAAAGGAUAGAAAUACGGAAAUUAACAUAUCAAAAUUGGAAAUGCAGAGAUAGGGAAAGUGUUGAAGUACCAGACAGGGAAGACAUCAUCAAAGUUGUUUGGGAAGUCGAGAAAGUAGAAUAAUCAUAGCCAGAGGGAAUACCAGCCAAACAGGUCAAAUCCUAUUAUAAAAGGUGACAUAGGUGAUACUGAACAACAUCUGCUUCUGUCACUGUACUCCCUCCGCCUCUUCCUUUCCUUCCUUCUCUUCCUUGCCUAUUUUUGUCUUUUUUUUUUUUUUUUUUUCUUUCUAUGCUGUAGGUUUGCCAGGGAGAUCCACUUAAAGUUGAUCCCUGGUAUUAGACCACUUUACAAGAAACAUCUACAAAUUGUCUACUUUGUUAGAAUUAUUUUUUUUUUUUUUUUUUUUUGCAUGGUCCUUCUAUUAGCAAAGAGGCUGCAUUCCCCUGGCACACUUUGCCAGAAACUUUGUUGCCAGAGGUAGAAAUAAUGUAACAGACACAAGGUGGUUUUCUGAGAUAACAGAAAAAGUGUUGUCAUUUAAGUACUCAUUAAAAUUCAGGGGCACCUGCGUGGCUCAGUUGAUUGACCUUCGACUCCUGAUUUCAGCUCAGGUCAUGAUCUCAUGUUUUGGGAGUUCAAGCCCCACAUUGGGCUCUGGGCUGACAGUGUGGAGCCUGCUUGGGAUUUUCUCUCCGCCUCUCUCUCAAAAUGAAUAAAUAAAAUAAGUUAAAAAAUUUUAAGUACUAAUUAAAAUAAUCCAAUAUGUUAAGAUAAAAUGUAUCACGGUAAAUCUUGGGACAUAGGGAAAUAAAAAAGGUGGAGAUACAGGAGCAAGCAGAGCCUUAUCCUAGCCUGGGGAGAAGAGCAGGGAAGUUAGUGGGAGCAAUUUGGGAGGAAUAUGUGUACAAAGUAGGUUCUGGAAGAUUCUGGUAAUUCUGGGCUGGGUAUUCACUGUCUCUGGAAGCUUCAAGAAAUCCUAUAGCACAUGCUGAUCCUAAUUCACAUGGUCAACAAGUCUUCCCCUGCCCCAGACCCAUUCAUGUUUUCCCUGCAUGUGAUUUAAAAUAAAAUAGCUCUGGUCCCAGAAAAUCAGCCAAAUUUACCAGCCAAAAACAUGGCUGAUUUACCAAACAUGGUAAAAUGGUUGUAAAAAAAUUGCUCUCUCUUGAGGCUUAUAACUGUCUUUUUUAUUACAAUGGUGUUAAUGGCAUUUUACCUGCUUGAAUGUUGAGUGGCUAAAUUGUUUUGACAGUUAAUUUCUGCUUCCCUUGCGGUUUCAGUUGGAUUCAAAAUGUAUACUUCCUGUCCUAGACUAUGUUUCAUUGCUUUCUAACAGCUGCUAUGUUCUACCUUCAUGGAAGACGAAGCAAUUGCUGAGUUUUUGUUUUGUUUGUCUUUUAAGAUGCUGUUCACUAGUGUAGCAAGUUUCUCUUGAGGCAGUUUUGGGGUGGAGGGUGGUUCAGACUUUAAAAGGGCUGGUUUGUUUUACAGUGGAGAAAUAUUGUUUGCAGCCUCCAACUACGUGUCUAACCCUGGCUAGCAUGGAUUAGAGAUGAGUGAUGUGAAUGAGCACCUGAAAAUUCAGGUGGGUUUGUUUUCCUGAUUGAUCUUGUUCAGAGAAUAGAUUAUUAAGCAUAUGUGUUUUGGAUAGUCGAUUAGUCAUAUAUCUGUAUGUGGGUAUUUUGGCAGAUGGUCAUACGUUGUCAUUUAAGUUUUGUAAUCAAGCUGCAUUUUAGUUGUUGAAUUGUUGUGGAUAGAUUUAUCGAUGGUCUAGGAGAUUGUAACUAAGGGGGGCUAAUCAGCAGUUACAGGGAUAUGCAGGGAUGGAGCUUUGGCAAACAUGUCCCAUGGUAAGUGAGAACUUGUAACCAACUCCUUUCUUGUUAACAUGUAAGUGGAGCUCCUUAGGAGGGUUGUUUUCACUGUCCCUUAGACCCAUUUUGUAGUCAGUGGGAAGAGUAGAUGUUUAAGAAAUUGUUUAAGAAAAUUUUAGGAGUCUCAAGUAGACUAGACUACUAGUAGACUAGUAACAAUUUUUAGUUUUCUUCUUUGCUUCAUUUGGAACAGGUUUCCUAACCAUGGCACUUCACAGACAUUUUGGGUCAGACAAUUCUUUGUUGUGGGGAUUAGUCCUCUGCAUCAUAGGUUGUUUCAUAGCAUACUUGGCCUUUACCCACUGGAUCCCAGUAUCAUUCGCCCCCAUUUGUGACAACCGGAAAUGUUCCCACACGUUGUCAGAUGUUCCCUCUGAGUGCAUAUUCUCUCCCAGCUGAGAACCACUGAUUUAGAAAAUACACAUAGGAGGGAUAUAUCAAAUAUGCACAGCAUCAAUUCAUUUUCUUGUUUUCUCCUUCUUCAAGCCAUAGAUUACUUCUUAGGCUUCCCUGAACUUUUUUCUUUUAGGUGUAAUAGGCCAGUUACCAUGUUUAAACCAUACUUUUAAAAACUUGUACAUAUUGGGUGCCUGGGUGGCUCAGUUGGUUAAGCAUCCGACUUUGCUCACGUCUUGAUCUCAUGGUUUGUGGGUUCUGGCCCUGCAUUGGGCUCAUGCUGACAGUGCAGAGCCUGCUUGGGUUUCUCUCUGCCCUUCUCCUCCCUCCCUCUCUCUGCCCCUCUCCGACUCAUUCUUUCUUUCUCUCAAAAUAAAAACACUUGUACUUACUUUAAAUGUAUUUUUAAAGUCUUUUAUUUUAUUGGCAGAGCACAAUUAUAGGAGCUUUGCCUGUGGGAACUCAAAGAUACUGGAAAAAGGCAUUUAAGUAACUAUAAUAGCAGAUAAACUGCAAAGUGCUAGGAUGGAGAAAGAGGUACUGUGCAAUUAAGUAUAGGGGAGAACUUUAUUCCAGCAGAGGUGGAGGUGGGGUCAGGAAGCUAUCUUGGAGAUGAGAUUUGAUCUAGGUUUUGAAAGAUGGAUGAGACUUUUAAAAGUUGAUAUUAGGAAAAUUGACAUUUCAGGCAGGAGGAACAUCUCAUAGUUUCUUUACUCCAAAUAAUUUUUAAUUAUUUAUUUAUUUAUUUUGAGAGAGAGGGUGAGCAUGAGUAAAGGAGGGGCAGAGAGAGAUGGAUAGAAAAUCUCAAGCAGGCUCUGCAGGGUCAAUGCAGAGCCUGGCAUGAGGCUUGAUCUCAUGAAUCAUGAGAUCGUGACCUGAGCCAAAGUCAGAUGCUUAACCGACUGAGCCACCCAGGCUCCCUUUCUUUCUCACUUAAUACUGACAAUUUUGUUGCCGUUUUUCUCUGUCUCUCUGUGUCCCUCUCGUACACAUCCAUCCAUCCCUCCCACAAGUAAACAUCCAGUUUUUGGCCAAGGUAGAUACCCCAGGUCCUGGGAGAUAAAGAGAGAAUCUGUUGUCAAGUAAUUUUACCAGGCCCACAACUAUCACAUAGUUCAUAGAUGCUAUGAUAUAUACACAGGGGCCCUAUGGAAAGUUCUUGGAAGUCUGUUGUUAGCACUGGGAUUCUAUGAUUCUGAAUAUCUUGCCUUUUAUUUUAUUUUGUUUUCCUGGUCAACCUUGCCCAAUCAGUGGCAAAAAGAAAUGGCAUAGCCCUAUUCCUCUUUUUUUCUCUUCUUUCAACAUUUCUUUUCUGCAGAUACCACAUCCACUCCUGUUACCACAUCAUCAUUAUUUAAAAUCUGUUUAGUAUAAAUAAUUCUGUUAGAUCCUAGGGAGGCACACUGGUAUAAGAUAUCAUGUCUACCAUUCAGAGAGUUUAUAAGCUAUUUAAUGAAAUAAGCAUAAGCAUAAAAUAAUACAAUAAUACAAUAAUAACAAAGUACAGUUGAGUAUAGUAGUUUGGAGCAUGGUCUGUGGGGCAGAACUGUUUGGAUUCAGAUCAACAGCUCUACCACUUACAGACUGCAUUACCUUGGACAAGAUCCUUAAGCUUUCUGUGCCUCGGGUUCCAGAUCUGAAAAAUGGUGAUAGUAAUAGUAUUUAUCUCAUAAAGUUAUAAAGAUCAAGUGAGUUAACUGGCAAAGUACUUGGUAUGGUUCAGGCGCAUAGGAAACACUAUGUAAGCUUUAGCUGUGGAUAACAAUGCCUGAAAACUUAAUCUGAUAAUUUUGCAUCUCUGCCUUCUGGACAUUCCUCAUUUUAGAAGUCUUUCUGUCAUAGCGAACUCCACUCUCUUAAAGGUAAACUCGUAACCCUUACCCUUCUCUUCUCACCAUGUCCUGCGUGUUUCCUCAUUUUCGGCAUUAGUGCUCCCACUUUGCAUCCUCCCAUCAGGUUUAAAAUCUUGCAGUCAUGUUUCAGUUCUCCAGUGUUCCACACAUAAACUGCUCUGGGAAAUGUUGUCUUCCUGCUGUCUCUUCUUUUUAUGUCUGGCACUGUCGACUUUAUGCACGUACUGUUGAAAUAGUCUUCCAACUGAUACCUUGCCUGCAAUUCUCGCAGGUAGCGAAAAGAAAGCACUGACUUUGGGUUUUUAAACAUUGUCCACUCACAUCUCUGAGUCUUGAUUUCUUUCUCAUUAAAAUGGGAUACUGAUCUCAUAAAAUUGCUGUCAGUGUUAAAAUAAUGAAAGUUUAUACAUGUUUGGCAGAUUCUGGUUCUCUUUCACAUUCCUCGCCUGUCCCCCCUAAUCUAUUGCACUGCUUUUAUAUUAGUAUUCCUGCAAAGCAUUUGUAUGUUGCUUUUCCUUACUUAAGCUCCUUAGUCUGGCAUUCUGGGUCUUCCAUAAAAUGGCCCUCAUCUACCUCUGCCAAAUGAUAUCUUGUUAUGUUUUCCUAAGAACCAACUAUGCUAGCCAGAGUAAUCUACUCAUUGGCUUCUAAAGAUGGUUUAUCUAUUCCUGCUUUAAUCUCUUUUCCUAGGCCAUUUUCCCGGUAGAAAGUACCGUCCUGUACUAUCUUAACUUAAGCUUCAUCUUCUCUGAAGACUUCUGUGUUCUGGUGAUUUCUGCAUUCUUGAACUUUGUAGUAUUUCCUGUCUCUUAGUCAUUUGGUAUGUAUAAUUUCUUAAAUUUCUAAUUAUCUCUUUUUUAAUAGAAAUGAAUUAUCUUUGCAGCUAGACUAUGACAGAGACCAUGUCUCAGCAUUAAAAAAAAUUUUUUUUUCAAUAUUUAUUUUUGAGAGAAAGAGAGUGUGAAUGGGAAAGAGGCAGAAAGAGAGAGGAAGACACAGAAUCUGAAGCAGGCUUCAGGCUCUGAGUUGUCAGCACAGAGCCUGACAUGGGGCUCAAACCCACGACAUGUGAGAUCAUGACCUGAGCUGAAGUCGGAUGCUUAACUGACUGAGCCACCCAGGAGCCCCAUGUCUCAACAUUUUUAAGUACACAGUGUACCAUAAUGGGUGUUCAAUAAGGUUUUCAUGCUUUCUUGUUUUUGCCAAACAUUUAUGGAAUACUUACAAAUGCCAGUGCUAGGCUCUGAGAAUGAAGAACGAAUGAACUGGUUUUUGUUCCUUAGGAUAAUUGUUUCCUGGAGGAGAUGGGUGUUACACAGAUACUUCAAUAUAGUGUGGUAAAUUCUAUGUUAGAUGUUUUCAAGGGUGCUAGAGUACACUGAGGAACUUUUAUUGCCUGGGGAGUUAAGAGAAAGCUUCCAGAGUUGAAUCUCUGAGCUCAGUCUUAAAGGAUGAGUAGGAUUAAUGAGGUGAAGAGAGAAGGGAAGGAUAUAGCGGGCAGAGGAACAAAAUGAGUAAAUAAAUGCCUGGGAGCAGUAUGUUUGAGGAACUCUAAAAAGUUUGGUAUUAGGAAUGUUUGAGAGUUUGGUUGAUGUACAUAUCGUGAUCAGAUUAGACUGCCACUCAGGGUAUGGUGUAGAAGUUAAAGAGAUUUUUAUUAACCCUGUCUCAUUCAGCUUUUUUGUUUGGGAGUCUAAGGUUCUUUUUUCAACAAAUUUGGUCAUUAAUCUUAUGGGAAUAAUUAGUUAAAAAUUAGUUAUUUGGAGUUAUUCGCAAAAAUUAGUUUUUUGGAGUUUUGUAGGAGAUGAGAGUUUUAGUGAAUAUAUGUAAUUCUGAAAAUAACUGGGUUGCUAGGACUUGCUUUCUAGAAUCUUCACGUCUUGAAUCUAGACAUGGAAUAGAGGUGGAGGUGAGGGAAGAAAGACUGUUAGGGGGGGAAACAAAACAUUAGAGACCAUUUUUUGAUGAUUAACAUUUUAUUCUCACGGUUUAGGCUGGCAUUUUUCUUUCUGUAGUGUCUUAAGUGAGAAGCAGGAUUCUAAAAUCUAUUAUAUGUAAAAAGCUGCUAUAUUUAAUGUGUUAAUAUCCUCAGUUUAUUUCCUAAAACUCCAUGGGUUUACUGAACACAUAAGUUGAAUGCUUUUUCAUUCCCUUCUUUUCCCAGAAGCCUAGUAUUUCAGUGCUGUUAGUUGGGAUAGAGCGAAUUAGAAUGUGUUUUAUUAGUACUGUCUCUUAGAAAGGUCAUGAAUCAUUGCCUAGUUUUUUAUUAGGUGAGAUACUGUGCAUUGAUGAGAUAUAGGUAGAAAGAUAAUCAAAGUAAAAUGCAAUUGGAAGAUGAUAUUCAAAGAAGAAAUGAGUUAAAGUGUUUGCUUACUUGGGGCAACUGGGUGGGUCAAGUCAGUUAAGCAUCCGGCUUUGGCUCUCAGGUCAUGAUCUCGCAGUUAGUGAGUUUGAGCCUCACGUGGGGCUCUGCGUGGGGCUCUGCGUGGGGCUCUGCAUCGGGCUCUGUGCUGAUAGCUUGGAGCCUGGAGCCUACUUUGGGUUCUGGGUCUCCCUCUCUCUUUGCCCCUUCCCUGCUCACACUCACUCUCUCAAAAAUAUUUAAUUAAAAAAAAAAAAAAAAAGGUUUGCUUCCUUGAAAAAAAUAUUUUUAAUGUUUAUUUUUGAGAGGGGAGAGGGGAAGAGAGAGAGAGGGAGACAGAAGAUCUGAAGCAGACUGUGCCGACAGCAGCAAGCCCAUCAUGGGGCUUAAACUCAUGAAUCAUGAGAUUGUGACUUGAGCCGAAGUCGGACACUCAACUGAGACUCAGACACCCAGGUACCCCUUACUUGACAAUUUUUUUAUUGCUGGUGGGAAAAAAUAAAAAGCAUCGUGUUCAGAGAACCACUAUAGGAUGAAUUUGAAUAUAAAAAGGGCAUCUACAAAAUUUUGUGCAUGUGCAUACUUAUAGUUUGUGUAAGAUAUUUUAUUUAUUUUAUUUUUUAAUGUUUAUUUAUUUUGAGAGCACGAGAAAGCACAAGUGGGAGAGGGACAGAGAGAGAGAGAGAGAGAGAGGAGAGAGAGAGAAUCCCAAGCAGGUUCUGUGCUCUCAGCACAGAGCCUGAUGUAGGGCUCAAACUCAGGAAACUGUGAGAUCAUGACCUGAGGCGAGAUCAAGAGUGGACGCUUAAUCACCUGUGCCACCCAGGCACCCCUAGUUUGUGUGAGAUAUUUUAAAGCAAAAUUUUUGUAUUUUAAUAUCUAACUUCUGUAAAAUACGUUUUUCUCAAACUCUGCUUAUUUUAAAUAAUUAAAAUAAUACUAUUUGCCUGAAAUACUUUUGUUUUUUUGUUUAAUAUUAAUUAUUUAUUUUGAGAGAGAGGGAGAGAGAUGCGGGGGCUCAAUCUCAUGACCUUAGCCAAUACCAAGAGUCAGACGCUCAAGUGACUGAGCCACCCAGGCACCUCUGCUUUGAUUUGUUUUUUAAUGGAAAAGGGUCAGAACAUUUUAAGAAGGAAGCAUAACUCAAAUGUUAAGGCAUACUGGUCAUAAAUUCUGGUUUAUAAUAGGAAAGGAAAAUAAAAUGUGAAUAGAUUAAUUAAAAAAAUUUAUUGCUUAGGUUGUUUGUAACUCCUACUCAAGGGUCUUUUGGUUUCCUAAGAAAGCGGGGUGGUGUAGGAAGUUGAAUGAGCAAGGCCUUUGGAUUAAGACUGGCCCAAUUUGUGUUUAGAUUGUCCUGAGUUCAGAUGCCAGCUCUGCUGUGCAUGGCAAUGUAACCUUGAACCUCUCUAGUUUUAGUUUUCCAUUUUGUAUUUUCCUUUCUAUAAAAUGACAAUGAUAGAAUUCUUGGGAGAAUUACAUGAGAAGAUGUGUAUAUAAAACAACAUAGUAAAGAGCCAUUUAGGCUCUUUGUGCCUUAAAUGGCUAUAGAGUGGGUUGAGUGAUCUUUUACUCUGAAGUGGGCUACUUUAUUCCUCAAGGGUACUGUCUUACAUUUUAUUAGUCCUUUAUACUUCUCAAAAUACUUUUAUAUAAUUAUCUUCUUAAGCCUUUGUGUACAGUAACUUUGUAUAAUUCAAUUGGCAUAUUGUAGAGAAGGAAAACAGGACUUAUGUUACCUAAUUAGUGGCAGAGUUGCAGUUGGCCUAGUCUGCUUCCUCUUUGUCCACUGCACAUACUUGGGCAGUGCUCUUAAAAAUGAAAAGUUUCCCUUUUGGUAUCUGUGUUUGCCAUUAAUGCUGUCAAAUGUUGUAUGUAAUUUAGAUGGCUCACAACUAUUGAGUUGCAAAUUCAUAUAUUAAAAAGCAUAUUUCUUAAGUUACUUUAAUUUUUUAAAAUUUCAAGUGCUAAUAUAGAUGUGAUUUUUGCCACUUUUGGCAUCCAGAAAAGCAAUACAUACUUGUUUGAAAUAGAACAUAACAAACCCCAGAAAAUUGUAAGAGUGAUCAUAAUGAUCAUGCAAGAGAGUGCAAAUCAAAUCUGGGACAAUAGGCAUAAAUCUGGACUGUUCCAGGCACACAGAAAUUUAUGGUUUCUCUACCAUCCAGGGUUGUGUCACUUUCCAGUUAUUUUUUUAUGUGGAUAGUAACAUAUUCACAUACUUGUAUAUUUGUACACAUGCAUAUUCUUUAAUAACUGAGAUUGGGCUAUAUCAUCUGGGUUUGUAAUCUGGCUUUUUUUCACUUAACAUUUUAUUAAAGACAUGUUUAUAAUUAUAUAUUUACAGCAUCAUUGGAAACAUCAGCAUACUGUUUUGUAUGGAAAUACCAUAGUUUUCUAAACUGAUUUCCUAACUGAAGAUUUGUGUUAUUUCCAAUAUUUUAUUAUUUUAAAAAGUGCUACAGUGAACAUCCUUGUACACCCAUAUCCUUGUGUACACUUAUGCCAUCCUGAGUGACAGGGUGUGCCCAUUUAAAAAUACUUUAUUAGGUAUAGUGGGCAGAAUAGCACCCCUAACUCCCUACAAUAUGUCUACAUCCUUAUCCCCGGAACCUGUAAAUAUAUUCUGUUACUUGGCAAGGGGGAAUUAAGUUGCUAAUCAGCUAAGUUUAAAAAUGAAGAGAUUAUCAUGGUUUAUUUGGUAGGACCAAUGUAAUCACAAGGAUCUUUUAAGUAUGGAAGAAGGAGAUAGAAAAUAGAGAUAGCAUUCUGCUGGAAUGGAAGGGGUCACAAGCCAAGGAAUACAGGCAGCUUGAGAACCAGGUAAAGGCAGAAUCAUAGAGCCUCCAGAAAGCAACACAGCUGUGCUUGAUUGACACCUUGGUUUUUAGCUUACUUGGACCCACUUAGGCUUCUGACUUUCAGACCUGUAAGAUGUUUUGUGUCAUUUUAAACCCACCACAUUUGUGGUAAUCUGUUACAGCAACAAAAGGGAACUCGUAAUACAUAGUACAUCCUCACCAGUACUGAAGGUCUCAUGCAUCUCACUUUUUUUUUUUUUAAACAGACUCUUUGAUGUAUUUAUUUGUAUUACACAAGGGCAAAUCUGUCCAAUCUUCUAUUGUUUCCAGAGUGUAUUCCACUGAACAUGAAUUCUCUGGGAACUUCAUAGGUAUUAGGAUUCUCAAUAUUUCCAAGGCAAAAUAAAUUUAGAAAUAUUGGGUUACACUGGGUUCUUUAUAUGGAAAAUGGUUAUCUCAUGGGAUUUACUUUAUUGAUGCGUUACUUUCCUUUUAAAAGUAGCACUGUGAGGGGCGCCAGGGUGGCUCUGUUGGUUAAGUGUCCGAUUUCGGCUUAGGUCAUGAUCUUGCGGUCUGUGAGUUCGAGCCCUGCAUCGGGCUCUGCUGACAGCUCAGAUCCUGGAGCCUGCUUCAGAUUCUGUGUCUUCCUCUCUCUGCCCCUUCCCCACUCAUGCUGAGUCUCUCUGUCAAAAAUAAAUAAAAACUUAAAAAAAAAAUAGGUGCUUUUUUUGAUAAGAGGGGAGUUACUUUUCUUUGGGUUUAGACCCAGAUGUGGACGUAAUUUCUUUCUUUUAUGUUAAUUAGUUUACAUCCCCACUUUCCCAAGUGAGGUAAGAUGAAAAUGAGAGAACAGUUUAGAAGCUAGGAAUUGCAGCCGGGCCGAGCCCUGUAAAGUGUGCUUGAAAGGGAGACGGUGUGAUACCAAACUAAUAAAAUACCUUUCAAGUUUUCUGCUCUUCUAGUCGUUACCUCCACUGUUUCUUCACAUGUGAAAUGAUAGUCUUUCCACUAUUUGUGGCAACUGGUAUGAAGCUACAAGUGAUGACAGCACUCAAAACCACGAGUAAUUUUCUCUCAUUUUUAAUGCUAACAGGGAAUUGCUUUCUUUUGUGUGAGGAUUUACUUGGUUUUGUGUUGUAUUUGGGAGAUGUUCUGAUUUUUGUGGCCAUACAAGUAUACCCUUUAAUAUAAAUCUUUGUGAAACUUUGAUAGGGAGUCUUGAGUUAAUAUCCUUUAUUUUAAAUUGUUUUGGUAUGUUAUUAUUUUGUUAAGAAUGUUUUUAGGAAUCAUUUGAUCUGUUUAUUGUUUGAAUGGCUUCUUAAUAUUUAUGCUCUCGACCCUCUGCCACAUGGGUCCUCGAUGAGCUUUCAGUCACCUGUAACUUGGCAGUGCUAACAUAACUUUUUCGCUUUUUUCAGUUCUGACAUGGAAGCUUGCGUAGAGUAGCCAUGAGGUGUGGUAACUUACGGAGAAAGGCCGCUGGUUUGUGCAUUUGACAUGAUUAAUAAGACUAAGCCAACAAUUUUAUUUUGUGCCAGACACUAUUCUAAACAUUGUGUAUUAACUGGACCCUCACAGUACCCUGUGAGAGGUAUACUACUGACUUCAUUUUAUAGAAGAGCAGAGAAGCAGAAUAGUUAGCCCAAGGCUGAGCCAGGAGUCAGGCUCCGGAAUCAGUGCUUUAACCAUGCAUCGUAUGGACUAUACCUCUAUAGUUUUAUGUUGUUACUUGCUUAGGAUUGUAGGAUUUUGUUUUUAUUUUAUUUUUGUUUUAUUUAUAUAUUUAUUAUUAGGUAAUAUACGGUAAAACCUUGGUUUGCAAGCAUAAUUUAUUCUGGAAACAUGCUUGUAAUCCAGAGCACUUUUAUAUCAAAGCUAAUUUCCUCAUAAGAAAUAAUAGAAACUGAGAUGAUUUGUUCCACAGCCCAAAAAUAUUCAUAUAAAAAUCAUUACAAUACUGUAAUAUAAUACAAGAUAAUAAAGAAAAUACAAAAUAUAAAGAAAAAUAAAUUAACCUGGACUUAACCUUUGAAAACCUUCAUGGCUGGUGUGAGGGAGACAAGAGAGAGGAGGGUCAUUGUGUAAUGACUUUCACUAUCACUAACGGAAUUGCUACUAUUUGUUGGCUCAGUGUAAUCUUUUUCUUUUCAUGCAACUUUAACAAGGAACCUAUCCAGUGAACCUUUUGCCUCCUUUUGAGGAUUUUGCAGAAAUGUGACAUUGCAUUGUUGUUAAACAGAUUCAUCACUCACACUGCUACAGCCUUAUUCAGGUGGUGCUUUUCUACAAAAUUUUGCACUGUUUCCCAUAUUUUACACAUCUCCCCAAUCUCAUUUGAAGUGAGGGAUUCCUCUGCCUUUUGCUUCUUCUCUUCUGCAGACGAGAUGCAGACGUAGACUUCUUAUAAAAUCUUGUAAUUUUGGCCACUCGUAUACCUCAUUCAUACUUCUUGAUGAUUUGCUCCUUCCCUCGUAAUAUCUUCUUACCCCCCUUCUUUUCAACGGGGGGGUUACCCCCCUUUUUCUGCGGGGGGGGGGCAUUGUAUACGCUCAUGGAUGUUGACUACAGUGCAGUAUUAAUAAACUCUUGUCAUUUACUGUAUUGAAUGUAACUGGCAAUAAGGCAGCAGAGGAAAGGGUCUCUAUCUGCAGGCAGCCUGACCUGGGAAGAAGCAAAGCAUUCCUAAGCUUAUUCUUGUCUGGAAAAGCAAAGGACUGUCCAGAGGCGCUUCAAAGUGACAAAAAAUACGCUCGUGCCAGUGGUGGGCAUCUUCCAACGUUCUGAGAAAUCAAUGAUUUCUGCCAAACACCACAGCCUGAGACUAAGCAUCUGAACAUGAGAGACGAUCACCCACAAUCCCACAGUGAGCGAACAAGAGAGAGAGAGAGAGAGAGGAACCAUUGGCUCAUUGUGAUCAUGUGACAUUUGGCAUCACGUACUACUUGUAUUGCAAGACAUAGCUCGUUUAUCGUUUAUCAAGUUAAAAUUUAUUAGAAAUGGUUGCUCGUCUUGCAAAACACAGAACACGCUACUCGUAAUCCAAGGUUUUACUGCAUUUGUAUAAAACAUUUAAUAUGCACAAGUAUAUUGUAUAUGUAGUAUAUACAAUAUGAACAGACUUCUCAAUCUCAACCUUCCUAGUGCAUUUAUUUUUUGUAGAGUAAUAAGGGAGAGGGCAGGGUAGUUCUGCCAGAAGGGAAGCAGAACGGGGAGACCUUUUAUAUUUGUAAUAGAUGAAUUUAGACUGCUUUGAACUCUUACUGACUAGUUGGCCUGCUGUUUUCUCAUAGCUGUUCUUCUUACAGUCUCUGCCUUCAGUGUUUACUUAAAUGCAGUGUAUUUCCCAGGACCUUUGGGAAUAUUGAGAACCAGAGACUGUGGGUAAAAACACUCCUGACCCACCUGGGCUAAUAGGACAAGUGCAGAAUGACUUUCCAGUGUUUUUGUUUUUUAACGUUUAUUCACUUUUUUGAGAGAGACAGAGUGUGAGCAGGGUGGGGGCAGAGAGAAGGAGGCACAGAAUCCAAAGCAGGCUCCAAGCUCCAAGCUGUCAGCACAGAGCCCAACAUGGGGCUCAAACUCAGGAACCGUGAGAUUAUGACCUGAGCCAAAGUCGGACGCUCAACCAGCUGAGCCACCCAGGCACCCCAAUGACUUGCCAGUGUUGUAACGUAAGUACAGAAGAUUGGGAUUUCCUUUUCCUUAUUGUCUUGGUUGAUUUAUUACACAGAAGUGUUCAGGUGUCAGCUUCUGACACUAAGGAACAUGAUUUUACAUGUAUGAAAUUCAAAUCUUAAAUAAUAAGUUGCUUCAAAAGGAAAAUUCAGUGUGACUUUUUAAAAGUAACAAAUUACUAAAGCUUACAUAUGUGGCCUGACAUCUUUGAAUUUACCAUUUUCCUGCUUAAACACGUAGUCAGCUGAGACUGAAAGAGUAAGACUGUGUUUUUAACUCUAGAAAAGGGACAACCUUCCUCUACUUAUCUCACAGGCUUAACUUUUUUCAUGUGACUUCACAUUGUCCUUGAAAAGUUCCUUCUUCCAGAAAGUCUUUCUUUGAAUCAUCUUAGAUUUUGUCAGGUGAAUGAGCAGAUGUUUCUCUUUAUUCUCGGUACUCUUUCAUUGGUUACAUCACUUUGUGUCUGUUCACUGUUUUGUUCCAUGUUAGCCUUGGAAGGGAGGCCUUUCUCGAUUAUCUUGGUACAACUUAGAGCAAUACUGACAAUCAGUAAAUGUUGACCAGUAGUGUGUGAGCUCAUACUGCAAACAUUUUGAAAUGUAUUAAUUUCUCAGAAUGGCUGAUAUUUGUUUUCAAGAGAUGCUCAAGUCUGAAUCAUUAGUAUCAUUCUCCAUUGUGAUAUAAACAAAACUAAGCAUACUUAGACAAUGAAAAGAAGCAAAAACUUUGUCAUUGUCUUUUUAAGAAAUGCUAAUAGAUUAUAUAGGUUUAAAGAUGGGAGACUUAGGGGAAUAUAUCAGUUAUGUGAGCAAGAGAAACAACCUGGCUCAUUUAAGCAUGAAAGAGUUAGAGACGUAGGUUCAACAGCUGCUGUGACACGUUACCACGAACUUGGUGAUUUAAAACAACACAAAUUAUUAUCUUACAGUUCUAGAGAUCAGAAGUUUGAAAUGGGCUCCACUAGGCUAAAAUCUAGGUGUCUUUCCUUCUGGAGGUUAUAGAGGAAAAUCCAUUUCCUUGCCUUUUCUAGGUUUUGAGGCUGCUCACAUUCUUUGGCUCAUGGCCCCCUUCCAUCUUCAAAACCAGUAAUCCUAUCACUGUACCCUUUGCUUCCUUUAUCGCAUCACUUCUGACCCUCCUGCUGCUUCUUUUACUUGUAAGAAUCCUUGUGAUUAUACUGGACGUAACCAGUUAAUCCAGAAUAAUCUCUUCUCAAAACCCUUAAUCACCUCUGACUUACGUAAGUCCCUUGUACAAUAAUGUAAGGGAACAUAUUCACAGGUUGUGGGGAUUAGGAUAUGGGCAUUUUGGAGAGGCCACAGUUGUUGUAUAGCCUGGAGUAUACAACCUUAAAUUCAGCCUGUGAAGACACUCCUGUGCAGGACUUUGUCUCCAUAACUUCUGUCCCUGACCCAUGCCUGACAUGCUGGACCACUCAUACUGGGAUUUUCAUUUCCAUUUCAUUCUCUCACCUGCUUAUCAGAAAUUGCUGUCAGAUAUACCUUUGCCUUUUGAAUGGUGACAUGGAGGAAGGUAGGCAGGUUUUGAGGUUUUCCUCUUUCACUCCAGUAGGUUAAUCAAUAAUGUAUUGAUAAAUGCCUGUGCUGUCCAGAAUGGUAGCUACUAGGAAAAUGUAGCUGUUUAAAUUAAUUUUAUUUAAAUGAGUCAUAGUAACCACAUGUCAAAUGUUCAUGUAGUUAGUGGCUACUGAAUUAGACAGCCCACGUCUAUCCCGGUGGUGUUGCAUGUUUAUUGUUUUGAGAGUCAGUCAGGAAAAAUGAAAUGUUUAAUAAGCUCUUUUUUAAAAUACCCCUGAUAUGGUUUUCCUUUUCAUAUAAUGCUUUAUCUGAGUUCAUAGCAUCCAUUCAUUCACAUGUAUUAUAUGUUCACUGAUAAAGCAAACUUUGCAAAAUACGCAUAAUUAACUCUAACUAUAGUUAGAAACUCUAUAGUUUCAUAUAGGAAAUUGAAGCCCAGAGAGACCAAAAGGUCAAGCAGCAGAAUUAGAAGGGGCUUGUAUUACUUAAUUCUACUCAAUGCAAUUUAAAGUGCCUCAGGUGCUGAGUAGGAUACUAAAAAGGCUAGCUGUUCUGCCCUGGUCUGGGCCUUAUUCUCUGGUUCUUGUUGAAUUUCUCAACUUGGGCUGGGCAAGGGAGGGCAAAUGGAACAAUGUGGAAAAGGGGCCUCACACUCCUAGGAAUGGAUCUAGCUUUUCCCAGGGAGUCUUCCUGAGACUGAUCCCCAGUCAGUUUCAGGAUGUAAUGCCGCUAGAUGAUACACGGGUUUGCUUUUUGUCUCCUCCCACAAUCCCUAAUCCAUAAAUUCCUUGAUAGCAGGAACCUUAUGUACUUCAUUGCUAUAUCCCAGGUCCUAGAACAGUGUCUAAGUAGGUCUGAAAUAUUAAGAAAUUAAUAGUACGAAUUCUGUUCUACAGCUGCUUCUAUGAGUAAGCAAAGUGGUCCAUCUGGAGGAUUUUUUUCCUAGCUAAAAUCUUAAUAGUUUCAGGAGUUAAAAGUCUUUUGUAAUUUCUCUUUCAUAUUGCUAAAAUAAUUGAUCCUUUCAUGAGUGGUUUGUACCUGCAUGGCCCAGUAUAGUAACUACUGGCCACCUAUGGUUAUUGAGCAUUUGAAAUGUGGCUGGUGUGACUGAGGAACUAUAUUGUAAUUAAGUUUAUUUAAUUAAUUUAAGUUUUAAGAAUUUAUACUUGAUUGAGUUGUCAGAACAAUUUGAGUAUGUAAAUCUACCUUUCAACAAUAAAUUUUAUGAAUUUAAAUACUGAUCAAAUAUUUCUGAUAAAGAAUUAGCUACUUAGUUGACAGAUGCUUUAAUUGUAAAAUAUCGACAACAUUUUGACAACUUAGCAUGAAAAGAAUUUGAAAUCUUUAAUAAUUUUUAUAUUGACUACAUGUUGAAAUGCUAAUGUUUUGGGUAUGUUAGGUUAAACAAAAUACAUUAUUUUCUUCUUUUUCUUUUUACUUAUUUUUUUAAGUAAAAAGAAAUAGGUUACAUAUGGUAAAUAUGUGACUCACAUUAUAUUUCCUUCUAUUGGCCAGUAGUAGUAUAGACCAUAAGGAGCUUCCAUCAAAGGAUUUUUACUGUUAAAAAAUUUCAUGUGUGAAAUCAUGUUUGUAACCUUGAGGUUUUUACUUAAUAUGUACUUUAAAAAUACACAAAUAGGGGCACCGGGGUGGCUCAUUCGGUUGGACAUCCAGCCUCUGCUCAGGCCAUGAUCUUGUGGUUCGUGAGUUCAAGCCCUGCACUGAGCUCUCUGCUGUCAGCGUGAAGCCUGCUCCCGAUCCUCUGUCCCCCUCUCAAUGCAACUUAAGCACUCUGCCCCACUUGAGCUCUCUCAAAAAUAAUAUUAAUUAAAAAAAAUAAAAGUACACAAAUAAUAUCUUAGUUAACUACAUUCAUUCAACAUAUUUAUUCAGGGAAGACUAGAUAAUAAAGCACUCUUCCAGGCAGUUUUGGGGUUAUAGUAUGAGUAACACUUUCAGAGAUUAAUUGAAGAAAUAACAAGUUAGGAUGUAGUAUGCAUGAUUAAGAGGUACAAAUCAGAGGGUUGACUUCACAAAAAUGUCUUAGAACGUUUUAUGAAGGGUAUAUCAUCUCCCGAAAAUAGGAAGACUUUUGUUAGGAACUGAAGAAGGAUAUUCCAGGUAGAGAAAAUACAGUGUUUAUUACUAAAAUAAAUAAACAAACAAACACAAGAAGAGUCAGAAGCAUCGGGAGCAUAGUUCAUGAAGGGGUAAGAGACAAGGUCAGAAUCUAAAUAGGGGCAUACUGACUGGCGGUGUACUUAGUUUGAGCUUUGUGGUUAAAUGGAAAUUGAUUUAGUGUUUUCAGUCUGGAAAUUGAUGUGUUUGAAAUUGUUUAGUAUCAUAUAUUUGGGAACUCUAUGCAAGUAAAGUCAUGGAAACCAUUUGAGGAAACUGCCAAAAUUCAUGUAGGAGAUAAUGAAAGUUUGAAUCAGGAUACUGAGAAAUACUUAGGAGAGAAUACAUGGUUGUAACCAAUGGGGCAUUAGUAACUGAUUACAUAUGAAGGGGGAGAGGGAAGGUCAUUGAUGAUAUUGAAGUUGGUUGUGGCGAAAUGGUAGCACUUUUCAUGGAAAUAGGUAAUAGAAGUAUGGGUGUUGAAGGGAGGGAGUAUUUAAUGAAUAUCCAUACAGAGAUGCCAAAUAGGCAAUUGGAAUGUAGACAUACCAUGAGCUGAGUUGGAAAUAAUUGAUUUUGUAGUUGUCUUCAAUAAGGUGACACUUGAAUCCACAAGCUGGGAAGGAAUGAUAGAGCUGUAUGGGUAUCAGGGUGAGAUCCUUAGGGAAGAGGUCCCAGAUGGUAACAGGGUCAAGUUCCAUUUUUUUUUUUUUUUUUUUCUUCCCCAUCCUUCCACCCACCUCCCCUCUGGUAACCAUCAAUUUGUUCUCUAUAGAUAAGAGUCUGUUUUUUGGUCUCUCUCCUUCUCUCUCUCUCUUUUAAGUAGGGUUCACACCCAGGGCAGAGCCCAACGCAGGUCUUGAAUGACCAUGAGAUGAAGACCUGACCUGUGAGGGGCGCCUGGGUGUCUCAGUUGGUUAAGCAUCUGGCUCUUGAUCUCAGCUCUGGUCAUGAUCUCAUCAUGGUUUGUGGGUUUGAGCCCUGCGUUGGGCUCUGUGCCAAUGGCUUGGAGCUUGCUUGGGAUUCUCUCUCCCUUUUUCUGUCCCUCCCCCACCUCUUUCUCUCCCUCCCCCACCUCUUUCUCUCCCUCCCCCUCCCUCUCUUUCUCAAAAUAAAUAAAUAAACCUUAGAAAAAAAAAAGACCUGAGUUGAGAUCAAGAGUUGGACUGUUAAUCAACUGAGCCACCCAGGCGUCUCCCUUUUUUUUCCUUUGGUUUGUCUCAUUUUUUCAUUUGUUUUGUUUCUCCUCCUCCUCCUCCUUCUUGUUAUUUAUUUUGAGAGAGAGAGAGCAAGCGCCUGCAAACAGCGUAGGGGCAGAGAGAGAUGGAAAGAGAAUCCCAAGCAGGUUCUGCACUAUCAGUGCAGAGCCUGAUGCUGGACUUCAACCCAUGAACUGUAAGAUCACACCACCUUUUGUUUUUCUUAAAUUCCACAUAAGAAUGGAAUCACUUGAUACUUGUUUUUCUCUGACUGACGUAUUUCAUUUAGCAGUAUAUUCUCUAGAUCCAUCCAUGUUUCAUUCUUUUUUAUGGCUGAGUAUUCCAUCAUAUAGUUUGUAUGUAUACGUAAUAUAUAUGUUACAUCUUCCUUCUCCAUUCAUCUAUCAUGGCUACUUGGGCUGUUUCCAUAAUUUGCCUAUUGUAAAUAAAGCUUCAGUAAACAUAGGGGUGUAUAUAUCUUUUUGAUUUAGUGUUUAAAUAUUUUUUGGGUAAAUAUUUUAUGGUAAUUCUAUUUUUAAUUUUUUGAGGAACAUCCAUACUGUCUUCUAGCAGCUGCACCAGUUUACAUUCCCACCAACAGUGCAUGAGAGUUCCUUUUUCUCCACAUACUCAUCAAUACUUACUGUUUCUUGUGUUUUUGAUUUUAGCCAUUCUGACAGUGUGAGGUGAUAUCUCAUGCUUUUGAUUUGCAUUUCCCUGAUGAUUAGGUGUUUCAUUCUUAAUGACUUUGCCACUCUAUAUAGGUGGAAGCAGAAAAAAGAAGCAAGAAAUGACAAGGGGUUGUUCUAAUGCAGUAGUUCUCAAAGUGUCGUCCUCAGACCAACAGCAUCAGCAUCACCAGGGAACUUAUUAGAAAUACAAAUUCUGUGUCCCAUCUCAGACCUGCUGAAUCAGAAACUGUGGGGCUUAAGUUUAGGUAUUAUUUUCAAAAGCAUUCAGAGAUUCUGAUGUAGGCUGAAGUUUGAAAAAAUGCAGAUGCACUAUAGUAUUGAGUACUAUUCAAGGAAGUAUGAGGACUUAGAAAAAGCUCUUAAUUGGGGCGCUUACUGUUAACUUGUGAGAAAGUUUGUAAUAUUAAAUUGCCACCAAUACUGUUCACGCUAUUUAGUCAUUUUUAUGAAUAUAGAGUGUGCAUUUUAUGUAAUGUGUAGGUAAUGUAUUUUAAUCAGAUUAUGAUCAUAAGGUGUAUGCUGUUUUAAAUCACAUUACUGGAGGUAAUCGAAAUAAAAUGCACUCAUUUUAAGUGUACAGUUAAUGAAGUUUUAUGAGCAUAUAUCCUCUAACCACUGCUCUAAUCAAGAUAUAGAACAUUUCCAAAUCCCCCCAAAAUUCUCUCAGACUCCUUUGCAGUCUGUCCUUACCCUUUUUGUCCCUCUGUGCCUCAGGCAAUCCUUGUUCUGAUUUGUAUCACUAUAAAUUAAUUUUGCUUGUUCUAGGACUUAAUAAGUGGAAUAAUACAGUAUGUACUAUUUGUGUCUGAAAUCUUUUGCUUGACAUAAUAUUUUUUAAAUCAGUCCACUUUGUUGCAUGCAUCACUAGUUGUGUUCUGGUUGCUGCUGAGUAAUAUUCCAUUGUGUGGUUAUACUACAGUUUUUUAUCCCUUCACCUUUUGAUGAACCUUUGGGUUUUUGGGUUUUUUUGCUACUGUGACUAAAGCUUCUAGAAACAUUUUGUGAAAGUCUUUUUGUGGACAUUUUUCAUUUCUUUUGGUAAAUACCUAGGAGUGGAAUCAUUGUGUCAUAUAGUGAGGACACAUGUAACUUUCCAAGAAAUUACCAAACUUUUUCCCAAUGCAGUUAACGUUUUAUACGUCCACUAGCACUGUAGACGAGUUCGAGUUCUUCCACAUCCUCAACUACAACACUUGGUUUUGGUAGUCCUUUGGUUUUUAUCAUUCCACUGAGUACGAAUUGGUACUUUAUUGUAGAUACACAUUUCCCAGAUGACUGAAGAUGUUGAGCUGCCUUUCCUGUGCUUACGGGCCAUUUAUGUAUCUCCUUGUAUAGCGUCUAGAUCAUUAGCCCAUUUUAAAAAUUGGAUUGCUAUAUUAUUGAGUUCUCUUUAUAUUUCUUGAAUGUAAAUCCUUUGUACACACAUACAGACACACACACACUCACACACACACACACACACACACACACACACACACACACUCACACACCCGAGUCUGGCUUGCCUUUUCACUUAAUGAUUUUGAGGAACAGAAAUUUUAAAUUUUAAUGAAUUUAAUUUAUCAGUUUACUUUUUGUUUAUUGAAUCUUGCCUUUAUUGAACUCUUUUUUUGCUCUGGGGCAGUGAAGAUUUUCUCCUAGAAAUUUAUAGACUUAGGUCUAUGAUUUUGAGUUAUUUUUGUGUAUCUUGUGAUGUAUUUUUUAAGGUUAAUUUUUUCCAGUUUUUAAAUUUUUACCCAGUUAUUCCAGCACUAUCAUUGAAAACAUCAUUUUCCCCCCAUUUCAUUGCCUUGACACUUUUGUUAAAAAUCGUUUGGCUAUCCACACAGAUACAUUCAUAUGCAUGUACCUACAUACAUGAGUACAUGAGUUUGUUUCUGUACUCUGUUCCAUUGAUUUAUGUAUCUCUUCUUAUACCAUUACUAUACUGUUUAUAUUAUCACAGCUCUAAAGUAAAUUUUGAAAUUGGGUGGUGUAAGUUCUCCCAACUUUAUUCUUUUUGAAUACAUUGUUUGGGUUAUUCUAGAUUCUUCAUUUCCAGAUAAAUUUUAAAGCCAGUCUGUCAGUUUCUACCAAAACGGCCUGCUAGGGUUUUGACUGGAAUUGUUUGUAACUGUAGAUAAGUUUGGGGAGAAUUAUAUUGAUCUUUUUAAAGUUAGCUUUUACUUGUUUUCUGUUUUUGUUUUUACUUUUCAUUAUUUUCUUCUACUUAAUUUUGGUUGAAUAUACUCUUUUACAGUUUAAGAUAGACCUUAGAUUAAUGCUUUUAGACCUUUUUUUUAUUUUAAUGUAAGCAUCUAAAGCCAUAAAAAGCUUUCUGAGCACUGCCUUCAUUCCAUCCUAUACAUCAUGUGUUUCCAUUUUCGUUCAGUUUUAAAUAUUUUCCAAUUUCCUUUGUGAUUUCUUCUUUGCCCCACGAUUAUUAAGAAACGUAAUAUUGGGGUGCCUGGGUGGCUCAGUCGGUUGAGCAUCCAACUUCGGCUCAGGUCAUGAUCUCACGGUUCAUGAGUUUGAGCCCCGCAUAGGGCUCUGUGCUAACAGCUCGGAGUCUGGAGCCUGCUUCUAAUUCUGUGUGUGUCUCUCUGCUCUCCCCCGACUGGUACUCUGUCUCUGUGUCUCUCAAAAGUAAAUAAACAUUAAAAAUUUUUUUUUAAAUGUAUUAUUUAAUUUCCAAACUUGAGGAUUUUUCCAGCUCUCUUUCUAUAUUGACUUACAGUUAUGUGAUUCUAAUUUUUGAAGACUUAUUUUGGAGUUCGCAUAUGGUCCAUCUUGGUGAAUGUUCCAUGUGCACUUGAAAGAACAUGUAUUCUUCUGUUGGGUAGAAUGUUUCAUAAAUGCCAAUUAGAUCUGUUUAGUUGAUAGUAUUGGUUUCAUUUUACUAGUUUUCUGCCUAUUUGUUCUAUCAGUUACUGAGAGAAGUUUUGAAAGCUCCAAAUAAUUGUAGAUUUAUCUAUUUUUCUUUAUUUCUGUUUCUAUUUUAUCUCUUUUGUUGGUUUAUUAGGUAUCCUCCCCCUUUUGUGUUGCAUUGGGAUUUACGUUAUGAUUUUUUAUAUUGUACUACUUUAUAUUUAAUGUAAAAUUUUAAGCAGUAUAAUUUCAUUUUCCUUUCCUUUUGUUUAUACUGUUAAUGUCAAACACUUUCUGUGUUUUAUUUUGUUGUGAAGUUUACUUUUUUAGUAAUCUCUACACCCGAUGUGGGACUCAAACUCAUGACCCCAAGAUCAAGAGUUGCAUGUUCUGAACCAGCUAAGUGCCAUCCCCCUCCUUUUUUUCCCCUUUAUUUGUUUUAAACCCUAGACCACAUGUUAUUUUUGUUUAAAGGUUAGUCAACCUUUAAGGAAAUUUAAAAACAAGGAGAAAAAAUUUAUUUUGUAUUUACUUAAAUUUUUUUCUUUUCUGGCAUUCCUCAUCUCUUUGUGUAGUUCCAGUUUUCUGUGUAUUACCUUUGUCUUUUUUUUCCAGCUUCAGGAACUUCCUUUUUAAUAUUCCUUACAGAAUUGAUUUGCCGACAUCAAGUUUCCUCGGCUUUUGUGUUUGUGAAAAUGACAUCAUUUCACCUUUAGUUUCAAAGGAUAUUUGUGCUAGAUAGGUAGUUACAGGUUUGACAGGCCUUCUCCACCCCCCCUCCCCAAUAUUUUGAAGAUGUUAUUCUAUUAUCUUCUGGCUUACAUUUUUUUCUGAUAAGAAUUUGGGCAUUAUUCUUAUCCUUAUUCCUCCUUAAAUGAUGUAUUUUUUUCUCUGCCUGCUCUGAAAAUUUUCUCUUUAUCAUUGAAUUUCAGCCAUUUGAUUACAGUGCUUUUGUAUGGUCUUCUUUUGUGUUUAAAUGCUUAAGGUUUGUUGAGCUUCUUAGAUCUGUGGGUUUAUAACUUCAAUCAAAUUUGAAAAAUAUUCUGUCAUUUCUUCAAAUAUUUUUUAUAUAAUUUAUAUGAGCCAGAUUUGAUAUAAACUCUUAAUUUCUUGGGGUCUGUUGUCCAGUGAACUGAUUUUGUUAAUAUAUUAUCAAGUUGUAGGGGCGCCUGGGUGGCUCAGUUGGUUGGGUGGCUGACUUCGGCUCAGGUCAUGAUCUCACGGUCCAUGAGUUGAAGCCCCGCGUCAGGCUCUGUGCUGACAGCUCAGAGCCCGGAGGCUGUUUCAGAUUCUGUGUCUCCCUCUCUCUCUCUCUGACCCUCCCCCGUUCAUGCUCUGUCUCUCUCUGUCUCAAAAAUAAAUAAACGUUAAAAAAAAAAAUAUAUAUAUAUAUAUAUAUUAUCAAGUUGUAAAUGUUACUGUACAUUUAGCAACUUGUUUAGCAAAGAACUUAAGAACUGGAUUUUGAGUAAUGUAGGAAUAAUAGAGAGGCCAGGACAUAUCCUUGAUUUUUAUAUUUUAGAAGAGCAGGAUAGGAGAGUAUAAUAAAAUUUGUUUGAUCUUACUUUAUGUUUGAUAUUAUCUAAAUUGUAUGGACCGAAGAUUUGUCCAUGAAGUUGUCCCCUCCCCUUCUUUUUCAAUCAUAUAUUCAGAAACUUGUUCUAUGAGUAACUUUGGCCCUAAGCAUAAGGAAUAUUGUUAGCAGUGAUGACUUAGGCUCACUCCCAGGAACAUUCUCCGGUUGCCACUGAAGUCUGUGUGCAUUCAUUUCUCGUGUAUAAUUCAUGCAAGAAAAUAUAGUAAACCUGUGUUAUCUGGAAGUUGUCUUACUGAUCAGAAUUCUCUAAAAAUUGAGGUUUUUAUUUUU